rnacentral:rRNA from 1 species
UACGUAGGUGACGAGCGUUGUCCGGAUUUACUGGGCGUAAAGAGCGCGCAGGCGGUCGUUCAAGUCGAGUGUGAAAGCCCCGGCUCAACUGGGGAGGGUCACUCGAUACUGAUCGACUCGAAGGCAGGAGAGGGUAGUGGAAUUCCCGGUGUAGUGGUGAAAUGCGUAGAUAUCGGGAGGAACACCAGUGGCGAAGGCGACUACCUGGCCUGUUCUUGACGCUGAGG